UAAAAUCUAGUUAAUAAAUAACAGAAACUUGUCAAGUUUCAAUAACCUUAGGGUGAUUUUAU
rnacentral:tRNA from 1 species